rnacentral:lncRNA from 1 species
GUAACUCCAAUUUCUAAACUUGAGAGCUGUACAGGCCUGUUACAAAGUGGUUACCUUUUAACCACUAACUUCCGAGAAAAAACUUGGAUCACUGAGGAGAGAACGAAGACAAAUACAAUUGAAGCCCCAGGGUGAGGAUAAUUAGCAAACGCAGACGUGCUCGCUCGCACAGAACACGCUCCCUCUGGUGGAAGUUCAGCCCCUCCACCUGCUGAGUGCACCACACAGAGCAGACACAAUCCAAGC